rnacentral:rRNA from 1 species
CACGUAGGCACCAAGCGUUGUUCGGAGUUACUGGGCGUAAAGAGUGCGUAGGCGGUCCCGUAAGUUCGGUGUGAAAUCUCCUGGCUCAACUGGGAGGGUGCGCCGAAAACUGCGGGGCUUGAGCACGGGAGAGGAAAGCGGAAUUCCUGGUGUAGCGGUGAAAUGCGUAGAUAACAGGAGGAACACCGGAGGUGUAGGCGGCUUUCUGGACCGUUGCUGACGCUGAGGCCGGCAAGCGUGGGGAGCGAACAGG